rnacentral:lncRNA from 1 species
AAAACUGGGAGGAAGAGUUUUAAUUCGGCAUCAGUCUUUCAUCUCACCGACAAUCAACAACUGACAAUAGAAAAGAAGUUGUACCGUAGGAAAACGCAUUUGAAUGACUCGUCUUCACAUUUUGGCAGUUCUUUUGGUGUCUGUUUACGGUGUCGCUUCCCGGCCGACCGAAAUGACCAACAACCCUGCAACCGAGUCCGUGAAUGACCGUCUAACAUUUGGAAAUCUGAAUGCUGAACUACCUGGAAGUUCUCCCUUGUCCAAUCGCUUUAAAAGAGCCGAUCAAACAGCGCAAAGUCACAACGGUAUUCGAUAUAAUGGAAUGACUAUUAAACUACCUGAAGGCGAAGGAUACCUCAAUCAACUGGCUGCCUCCAGCAGCAGUACAGAAAAGCCUAAAAAGCCAAUCAACCGGAUGGCGCGGAUACACAUCCGGAUUGGAUGAAAUGUUCACGGUCGUUCCUUAUAUCAAACAUCCUAUGUGAUUUUAUCUCAACUGUCUAACUAUUGACGACGUUAUAUGUUUAUGACAAACUUUGAUAGUAUUAUACCUAUACGUAAUAAUGUUGACGAAACGCAACCCCAUUUAUAUCGCCUGUGUACAGUUACGCAUUAAAUAAAACGAGUGUUUAGCAACGAAAGAAAUGGACUGCAAUGUGCACAGGAAUUAUUUGGAAAUCCGACGGUUGGAUUGUUGCAGCUUGGUUGAAAGAGUUGUUAUGUUCAUAAUUUGACCUAAUUUGAGCAGCCAAUGAAAUUGACGGAUACGGUGGUUCGAUUACAUCUGCUGCCAGCUAGUUUAAACAGUCCAAUCUGUAAUUAUAACAGUUUCUAGGGGUUUCCCAUCGAAUUAAGCAGAUGUGUCCUAGCAUAGGCGAUGACAACAUGCCUAUAUUGACUAGCCCGAGUAACCUACAUAGGCUAUACUUGUACAGCAUCAUCAAAUAAUUAUUCAGGCUAUUUACUUAUAAGCAAUUGUGCCUUGUGUCAACAGAGACUAAUAGAAUACAUGGCCAUAGAAGUGUAGACCUACAUAAGUAGGGCGCAUCUGUGCCUCAAAUGACCAAGCUUUCCAACACAAUAAUGAAAUAUAUAGGCGAAAGUCAAUAUUAAGGCACUAUAUAAAGGGCAGCCUCUGCCUAUAACUGAACAUACAGCACCUUCGCUUAACACCGAAAUCAACACCAUCCAAAAAUGUUCCAGAAAUUCUUUCUCCUUGCCUGCGUCUUGGCUGUGAUGGCCAUCGUCUACACCAACUCUCUACCCACCGAAGAGGGCGAAAAUGACGAAACCUUCUGCAAACCCUUUUCAUCCUGCACGAAUAGCACAGACUGUUCCAGCAAUCUGAUUUACAAGACCUGCCGAGCUAACCUCUUUGGCAACAAGCAAUGCUGCUUGUAAAUCCUCGAAACAACUUCAAGUCGAAAUUUCGCCACAAGAAAUUUAAAAUCCUUUUUUGCACUUAUAUUAGCAUAUGCCUCGAUAAUUUAAAUUAAUUAACUAAACGAGGUAAUAAUUGUAAUAGCGGGUGUUUCAAUGCAUUUGUUGUUCGUUACGAGCUUCGAAGAGAAAUACACUUUCACAGUUUCACCACA